UACGUAGGGUGCAAGCGUUGUCCGGAAUUAUUGGGCGUAAAGAGCUCGUAGGCGGUUUGUCGCGUCUGCUGUGAAAACUCAGGGCUUAACCCUGAGCUUGCAGUGGGUACGGGCAGACUAGAGUGCGGUAGGGGGAGACUGGAAUUCCUGGUGUAGCGGUGAAAUGCGCAGAUAUCAGGAGGAACACCGGUGGCGAAGGCGGGGUCUCUGGGCCGAC
rnacentral:rRNA from 1 species